AGCAGCCGCGGUAAUUCCAGCUCCAAUAGCGUAUAUUAAAGUUGCUGCAGUUAAAAGCUCGUAGUUGAAUUUCGGGACUAAUAUGUCGGUCGUGCCUCGGUACGUACUGGUUUAUUGGUUUCUCCUUUCUGAAGAACCAUGAUGUCAUUUAUUUGGUGUCGUGGGGAAUCAGGACUGUUACUUUGAAAAAUUAGAGUGUUUAAAGCAGGCUCACGCUUGAAUACAUUAGCAUGGAAUAAUGAAAUAGGACGUUUGAUUCUAUUUUGUUGGUUUCUAGGAUCGACGUAAUGAUUAAUAGGGAUAGUUGGGGGCAUUAGUAUUCAAUUGUCAGAGGUGAAAUUCUUGGAUUUAUUGAAGACUAACUACUGCGAAAGCAUUUGCCAAGGAUGUUUUCAUUAAUCAAGAACGAAAGUUAGGGAUCGAAGACGAUCAGAUACCGUCGUAGUCUUAACCAUAAACUAUGCCGACUAGGGAUCGGAUGAUGUUAAUUUUUUAAUGUACUCAUUCGGCGCCUUACGGG
rnacentral:misc_RNA from 1 species